CAGGGCAGAGCUAUCCUCAAUUUUGUGUAACUGGAGCCUAGCCCUCACCCAACCAAUCAGGGUCAGUCAAAGCAGUGACAUCACCACCCCUAUAAAACCCCUUGACCUGCCAUAACCAGUUUGGCUCAGUGGAUAGAGCAUCAGCCUGCAGACUGAAAGGUCCC